AUGGGAUGGGGAUGGGGACACUCAUGGGAUGGGGACACUCAGAACAUGGGAGAUGAGCCAAGGGCACACAUGGGCCUGCUGGCACUUGGGGACCAGUCUGGCCCCAUAAGGCUCAGUAUGACCCCAUCAGCACCAGUGUGACCCCAUUAGCACCAGUGUGACCCCAAUAGGCCCAGGAUGGCCCCAUCAGCACCAGUGUGACCCCAUUAGCACCAGUAUGACCCCAAUAGGCCCAGGAUGGCCCCAUCACCACCAGUGUGACCCCAUUAGCACCAGUAUGACCCCAAUAGGCCCAAUAUGGCCCCAUCAGCACCAGUGUGACCCCAUUAGCACCAGUAUGACCCCAAUAGGCCCAGUAUGGCCCCUUCAGCACCAAUGUGACCCCAUAAUGCCCAGUAUGACCCCAAUAGGCCCAGGCUGGCCCCAUCAGCACCAGUGUGACCCCAUUAGGCCCAGUGUGACCCCAUUAGGACCAGUCUGGCCCCAUCAGCACCAGUGUGACCCCAUUAGGCCCAGUGUGACCCCAUUAGGACCAGUCUGGCCCCAUACCAUGGGUGGCCGUCCCGGUUCCCCACCCUCCGUAGGUGGCUGGGUUGGAAUCAGGGGUGGGAGGAUCCCUGCCCAUAAAACCAGUGCUCCCAGUGCUCCCGGUGCUCCCGGCCCCACAAGCAGCACCCAUGGGUGCCCUCAGGACCCUCGGGCUCCUGCUCGUCCUGCUCGGCGCCGCCCGCAGCCUCCCGGUGCCCGUCACGGUCCCGGUCCCAGCCACGGCUCCGGUGCCCCCCAGCCGGUUCCAGCCCUGCCGGUGCCCAUAAGAGCUCCCAUUGCUCCCAUUGAUCCCAGUGCUCCCAGUGCUCCCAUUGCUCCCAUUGAUCCCGGUGUUCCCAGUGCUCCCAGUGCUCCCAUUGAUCCCAUUGCUUCCGGUGUUGCUCUGGAGCUGCUGCCAUAGACACCAGGUACCGAGGGGGGGGAGCCCUGCGGGGUUGGGGGAGGGGGGGGGAGUGGGGCAGGAUGGAUCCUGGACCUCCAUAACUGGGGUUAAUGGGGGGGUCCCCAUAACUGGGAUCAAUGGGUGGGUCCCCAUAACUGGGAUCAAUGGGUGGGUCCCCAUAACUGGGAUCAAUAGGGGAGUGUCCUCAUAACUGGGAUCAAUGGGUGGGUCCCCAUAACUGGGGUCAAUGGGGGGUGUCCCCAUAACUGGGAUCAAUGGGGGUGUCCCCAUAACUGGGAUCAAUAGGGGAGUGUCCUCAUAACUGGGAUCAAUGGGGGGUGUCUCCAUAACUGGGGUCAAUGGGGGUGUCCCCAUAACUGGGAUCAAUGGGGGUGUCCCCAUAACCUCUCUCUCUUUGCCCCCCCAGCAUGGCCGAGCGCCGCCCCCCAGCGCCCCCCCAGCCGCAGCCGCCCGUGCCCAAGCCCCCCCCCCAGCCGCAGGGCCCCCCCCGGCCCGAUGACCCCCAGCCCCCCCUGCCCCUGGUCCCCGUGGCCCCAUGGCCCCCCCUUCCCGAGUGGAAUGGGGACAGGGACGGGGCAGCCCCAGGCCAUGGGGGGGGCACAAGGGGCAGCUCCUGAGGGGGGGGGGCACCAGCCCCAUGGAGCCGUGGGGGGGGGGGGGGGGGCAGCAGCGCCCCCGGUCCCCAUAGACCCCAUGGAUGCCCCCAUUAAAGGCUCCUUAAGCCCCAGUCCUGGUGUUGCUGCUGAGGGAUCAACCCCCCCCCCCCAGGGAUGAGGAUGGGGGUGAUGCUGCUUCCAUCUUUAAUGGGGAGAUGGGGGGGGGACAUUGGGACAGUGCAGGGAGAUGGGGACACAGGAUCAAUAGGGGGACAGGGGCACACUGGGGAUAUGGGGAUAUGGGGACAUUGGGACACAGGAUCAAUAGGGGGUCAUGGGGACAUUGGGACACAGGAUCAAUAGGGGGUCAUGGGGACAUUGGGAUAUGGGGAUAUUGGGAUAUGGGUACAUGGGGACAUUGGGAUAUGGGGACAUUGGGACACAGGAUCAAUAGGGGGCCAUGUAGAUAUUGGGAUAUGGGGACAUUGGGACACAGGAUCAAUAGGGGGCCAUGUAGAUAUUGGGAUAUGGGGACAUUGGGACACAGGAUCAGUAGGGGGACAUGGGGACAUUGGAAUAUGGGGACAUGGGGACAUUGGGACACAGGAUCAAUAGGGGGACAUGGGGACAUUGGGAUAUGGGGCCAUGGGGACAUUGGGACACAGGAUCAAUAGGGGCCAUGGGGACAUUGGGACACAGGAUCAAUAGGGGCCAUGGGGACAGCUCUAUGCCACCUCCUGCAGCUCUUCCGAGUGUCCCCAGCCUGAAGGGACACAGGAGCAAAGCUGGACACUGAGGUUGUGACCCAUGUACCCCACAUCCAUUACCCCACACCCCAUAUCCCAUGACCCAUAUACCCAGUAUCCCAUAUCCCAUACGCCAUACCCCAUAUCCCAUACCCCCUAUCCCAUAAACCAUAUCCCAUUCCCUGUAUCCCAUAUCCCAUUCCCCAUAUCCCAUUCCAAUAUCCCAUACCCCAUAUCCCAUACCCCAUAUCCCAUUCCCAUAUCCCAUACCCCAUAUCCCAUUCCCAUAUCCCCCAUCCCGGUACCUUGGCUCCCACUGUCCUCAGUGUCCCUGGACCUGUCCUGGCUCCUGAUGGCUCCAGGCUCCGGUGCCAUGGCCCCGA
rnacentral:lncRNA from 1 species